CAAUAGCGUAUAUUAAAGUUGUUGCAGUUAAAAAGCUCGUAGUUGGAUUUCUGGUGGGAGCGAUCGGUCUGGCGCUUAGCGCGAGUACUUGCAUCGUCUCCGGCCAUCCUUGGGGAGAGUCUGUCUGGCAUUAGGUUGUCGGGCAGAGGAUCCUCAUCGUUUACUGUGAAAAAAUUAGAGUGUUCAAAGCAGGCUUAUACCAUUGAAUAUAUUAGCAUGGAAUAAUAAGAUAGGACUUUGGUACUAUUUUGUUGGUUUGCGCACCAAAGUAAUGAUUAAUAGGGACAGUUGGGGGUAUUCGUAUUCCGUUGUCAGAGGUGAAAUUCUUGGAUUUACGGAAGACGAACUACUGCGAAAGCAUUUACCAAGGAUGUUUUCAUUAA
rnacentral:rRNA from 1 species